CAAAGGUUUGCUUACCUGGUGCUGGAGACCGAAGAUGCUUACAGUGCUGAUGGAUCCUCGCCCGCUGCUUCCCUUUGUCUUCCUUCUGCGCUCACCUGCCUGCGUGUUCCUUUUGUUUUCUCAGCAACUUUUGAAGCUGAGAAGGUGAUGAAGAGGCUGGCCUGCUGGGAAUUUGUUUUGAUUCUGGGUUUUCGUUGUUUGCAGGGACGAAGGCAAUGGCAGAGCCAAUACUCGUCUCUGUUUAUUGCUGCUCUCUUGUUCUCUCUGUCUCUCUGUGUAUUAUUUCUUUCUCUGGAUUUAUGCUCUGUUUUUCCUCUGUUCUUUUCUCCGGUUUCUGGUUUUUCGUCUGGGUUUAGCUUCAGUUUUUUCCCCCCAGUUUUCCCCAGUUUUUUCUUCCCUGCCGUAUGGCUUUUUCGUGUCCCCAGUGUUUCUUUUUUUUUCUCCCGUCCCCCCUUGUGAUUCCUCCUCCGUUUUUCUUUCCUCUUGUCCCCCUCGCGAGGUUGCCUUUACCCGGGUUUUUAUAGGGCUGGGAGAUCGAUCGGCGCUGUAACAGCCGGCAGUAAUGGCGUGGGGCGCUCCAUUCAAUGGAGAAACGUCCCUGCGUUUAAUGGCGGAGCCGCUGCAGAGGAAGAAAACGAGAGAACAGUCGCCUGCCCCAAAACGACUCCGUUUUCUAAUUUCAAAGGCUGCUUUCAGUUUGGUUCUUGGAAUUCUUGUAAUUUUGCAAUCAAGCCCCUGGUUAAAAUGUAAUUGGAUCCUUGCAUUUCCGCGC
rnacentral:lncRNA from 1 species